rnacentral:lncRNA from 1 species
GAAGAAUACAGGAGAUCACUCAGUCAUGGACUUUGGUGAAAACAGAGUGUGAUGCCUGUGCUUUGCCAUUUUGUGUGACUUCUGAACUCUGAAGUGCGGUGGCAAAGGUGGGAGUAGGUACAGGGAUGGGUAGAGAGUCAUUCCAUAUCAGAAGACCACAGAAAAGGUAAUGUACAAUGGACAGCAGCGUAUUUCUCACAGUUCUGGAAGUUGGGUGGUCCGAUUUUGAGGAGCUGUCAUCUGGUGAAGGUCUUCUCACCGUAUCAUCCCAUGGUGGAAGUAGGAGGACAAGGAAAGGAGUGAGAAUACCAACUGGUUGACAGUGAUUGCUACAUCACAGGAUCCGGGUAUGAAGCUACAUCUGUCCCCCCAGGAAGGGUACACCAAUCAGUAGGCAGUGGCCCCUACUGGUACAAGCAGGAGACAAGGGACAUGUGUCAGCUCAUAACCAGAUUUUGCUUCAUACUGUAUAGGACCAAAGCAGUGGACCAUGACGAUGAGCAGACCAGUGCUCUCAUUAAGCAUGACCUUUGCUCUGAUAGAGCCCCUUGGAAUGCAGAAAGAUAACAAGAAGGGAAUAGCUGAGUCAAAUGGAACCUCUACUUAAGUUUUUGAGGAAUCUCCACACUGAUUUCCACAGUAGUCCACACUUUCAACAACGGUGAAGAAUGAUUCCUUUUAACCUAUAGCCCAGCCAGCAUUUGUUAUUCGUUGAUUUCUUGAUAAUAGCCAUUCUUUCUGGAGGGAGAUGGAGUCUCAGUAUUGAACAUUUAUAUUUAAUUGCCAUUUGUACUUCUUAAUCU